GACCUCUUGGCUCAGUGGUAGAGCAUGUGAUUCCAGUUUGGAAGUUCCACAAGGUCGUCCGUUCAAUCCGGGCAGAGGUCA
rfam:Sphaerobolus stellatus SS14 unplaced genomic scaffold SPHSTscaffold_1, whole genome shotgun sequence.